AGAGUGAACGCUGGCGGUAGGCCUAACACAUGCAAGUCGAACGGCAGCACAGUGGUAGCAAUACCAUGGGUGGCGAGUGGCGGACGGGUGAGGAAUACAUCGGAAUCUACCUUUUCGUGGGGGAUAACGUAGGGAAACUUACGCUAAUACCGCAUACGCCCUUUGGGGGAAAGCCGGGGAUCGCAAGACCUGGCGCGGAUAGAUGAGCCGAUGUCGGAUUAGCUAGUUGGUGAGGUAAUGGCUCACCAAGGCGACGAUCCGUAGCUGGUCUGAGAGGAUGAUCAGCCACACUGGAACUGAGACACGGUCCAGACUCCUACGGGAGGCAGCAGUGGGGAAUAUUGGACAAUGGGCGCAAGGCCUGAUCCAGCCAUACCGCGUGGGUGAAGAAGGCCUUCGGUUGUAAAGCCCUUUUGUUGGAAAGAAAAGACAAUCGGUUAAUACCCGGUUGUUCUGACGGUACCCAAACGAAUAAGCACCGCUAACUUCGUGCCAGCAGCCG
rnacentral:rRNA from 1 species